ACAUUCAUAUUGGAAAAACAGCUCCGUCUCAGAUAGUGAUGUUGCAGAAAACACGACUGCAGCCAAGGAGUGUCAUCUUCUGUUUCAAGGUUUUGGGAUUACGAGAAAAAAAAACCGCUUUCUCAUCUGCUCCCUGGGCCAAGCAGAGACCACGCUCUCAUUUAUUUACUUUUCAGAUGCUGUGUUUUGACAGCCUCAGAGAAAUGUUCUUCUGAGCUAGAAGUUCAUUUCAGAGCAGAUGACAUGUCACGGGGGAGCUGUGUCCAAGAGAACUCCAUCCCCUGCCUGCCACAGCGCUGCUGGACGUGGGUGCCAUCACCAUGCCCAGGACAUUGCCAAGGUGGUGCUGGAGAAACCCUCCAUGAACAGCAGCAUCUGGGUGAGCGUAUCCAGGGAAGGCCUUAAGAGUGUCAUAUGGAGACUCUGCGCAGUUCCAGCUUCACAAAAAGAAUUCCUGAAGGACCUGAAGUGAAUGAUUUACUUUGACGAUGCUGUAAAACUGAAGAUAGUACACAGAUCCUUACGAUCUCUCUGGUCUCUGUAAUCACAGUGACUCCGUUUUUGGGGUAGAAAACGUGCCUUAUGCAGCGAUUGUGCUGGUCCUUCCACUCCUCCAAUCAAUCAAUCAAUCAAUCAUAGAGUGGGUUGGGUUGAAAAGGACCUUAAAGCCCACCCAGUUCCACCUCCUGCCACGGGCAGGGACACCUCCCGCUGGAUUCGG